CGGAUCUGUUGGAUUUACAACCCGUGAAUUUAUCCACUUCUCCCGAAAUACAUGAAAGUCUCGUCCACCCGGCCCUCCUCGAGGGGGCGGGGCGGGAAUGGCCACAUUCCCUAUGCAGCUCCCAGAGUCCCGCCCAGGGUGGCGGGAAUGGUCUGUUGGACACGGCUCCUGUGUCUCCGCUCUCUCCAUGCCAGCCGUCUAAUCCACUCUCUGCCACUGGAGCGGCGGGGAGGUCUGGGCCCACCUGUUGGCGUUGCGGGGACCCGGGCCAUUUUGUGGAUAGGUGUCCUGUAAUGGAAGUGGGAACGAUGGUCUGGGUCCCGGAUGCCCCGCAGGCUGCCCCCGGUCAAGCUGGGUGGUACCAAAUACCUUAAUUGGCGUGGAGAGAGUAUUUAACGCCAGGAGAAACAGGAGCCUGCGAGAGAAGGACUACUGGCUGUCACACUCCUUGGAAUCCUGCCUGACUUUGACGGAGUGAAAUUAAUGUUUAUUUUGUGACUGUUUUGUGCCGGUCUGCACACCUUUUGAUUUCUGUGAUUAUUUUUUAAAUAAACAGCCAGUAGUCACCUGCCGACCCUGUCCUCUUCCCUUCUUAUUUCCGAACUUUGUUACAGUUAGUUUUAAAGUAACCAACAGUUUAAUGUUUGCAAAUGCCUCAUAAUUGUAUCCUAAUUUAGUUACUUGGUGUUUGGUAACGAAGGGCCUACUUUGCAUCAGCUACACUGACUCAAUGACAAACAAGUCAUUCAUAAAAAGACAAAUGAUGGCACCUGUGUUCACAGCAACUAGUUUCUAACUAAUUAAUCAUUUGAUUGUUAAUCAUAAAUAUAGGAGGCUGCUGCUCGGUAUAAUAGUUUUCAAGAACAUUAUGUAAAUUGGUAAACUAUUUAGCCUAGGCUACCAAAACAAACACCAAAACUUAAUAUGAACUCCUAAAAAUUAUAGCAAUUUACGCAAAAAAAAAAAAAU